AUUGAACGCUGGCGGCAGGCCUAACACAUGCAAGUCGAGCGAGCGGCGGACGGGUGAGUAAUGUCUGGGAAACUGCCUGAUGGAGGGGGAUAACUACUGGAAACGGUAGCUAAUACCGCAUACCAUCAGAUGUGCCCAGAUGGGAUUAGCUAGUAGGUGGGGUAACGGCGCACCUGGGCGACGAUCCCUCGCUGGUCUGAGAGGAUGACACGCCACACUGGAACGUAGACACGGUCCAGACUCCGACGGGAGGAAGCAGUGGGGAAGAUUGCACAAGGGGCGCAAGCCUGAUGAAGCCAUGCCGCGUGUGUGAAGAAGGCCUUCGGGUUGUAAAGCACUUUCAGCGGGGAGGCGUUACCCGCAGAAGAAGCACCGGCUAACUCCGUGCCAGCAGCCGCGGUAAUAC
rnacentral:rRNA from 1 species